GAUUUCAUGGACUUUCUAGACGCUCUUGUUUGAAUUGGCUGUGAACUAUGUGCAUGUAAUAUCAGUGAAUAGAACAGGCGUGGUUUGGAAGAUUGUUAGCAAUCAAGAGUUGAGGUAAGCUUCCCACCCGCCUUUUUCUAACUUCUCUGCUUUUACCAAGACCGUAUCUCUUGUGUCUUCUAGAUACUGAGGCACUGAGCCUAUCUGCAAAGAAAGGUUGCUGGUGAUCUCUUAUAAUAAAGUGAUGCUUCGUAUGGUUGAAAUGCUAAUGAUUCGUUAUUGUAAAGAGUUGGUGAGUGAUUGGCAUUAAUGAGGCGUUCUUAUGUGUAAAUGUUUUGAACAUUAUAAUGACAAGAAAAGAACUACAAUGAUUCAGAGAUAAACAUGCAUGUUGCCAGAGUGCAUAUCGGCUUGUAUGUACAAAAGAAAACAGUAAAAAAUACCUUGCUUUUAGGUUAGCAUCACCGACACCCAACAUUCUUACUGCAAGAAGGUGAUGUAGAACAAGAGGCUCAGGAUUUUGAAGAGAAGCUUGACAUGAAAAGGCCUGCAAGGAAGAAGGGAGGAAAAUAGCAUGAUCAUGCCAAAACUGGAAAAAGCUCCGGAGGCUAGAGAGGCCAACAACAUGAUCAUGCUGACUGGCUGCAUGAUCAUGCCACUUAUAUUUAAUAUUUUUUUUUAGGUAGAAUUUGUUUUUUUUUAUUAUUAUGUUUUAAGAUUUUAUAUCCCUAUAUAAACAAUAUUGUAAAAAAAAUAGUCGGCAGCUUAUGAUUGAAUAAACAAAACCCUUGAGAGUUUUCUCAUUUUUUUCUGGUGGAUUCCAGAUUUAUCUUUCAAAUUCGCGUUGGCGGAUUUGUGUGUGUUCAUAAGGAUUAACGUUUGUUAAUCCGAGUGUUCUGUUCUGCGUCAGAAGGCCUGCAUUGGUGGCAUUGUUUAUUGCAACUGUAGCAACUGGGAUACCCCUUGGCAUCUG
rnacentral:lncRNA from 1 species